rnacentral:rRNA from 1 species
AGCGAACGCUGGCGGCGUGCCUAACACAUGCAAGUCGAACGUGAAAAGGGAAACCUGAGUAAAGUGGCGUACGGGUGAGUAACGCGUAGGUAAUCUACCCCAGAAUCUGGAAUAACCUGCCGAAAGGCGGGCUAAUACUGGAUAGAGCGAGGGAACUCGUAAGAGAGUUUUUCGGGAAAGGGAGCCCGCAAGGGCCUUCGUUCUGGGAUGAGCCUGCGUCUCAUUAGCUAGUUGGUAAGGUAACGGCUUACCAAGGCGAUGAUGAGUAGCUGGUCUGAGAGGAUGAUCAGCCACACUUGAACUGAAACACGGUCCAGACUCCUAAGGGAGGCAGCAGUGGGGAAUCUUGCGCAAUGGACGAAAGUCUGACGCAGCCACGCCGCGUGAGUGAAGAAGGCCUUCGGGUUGUAAAGCUCUGUCGGAUGGGACGAACAUCUUCAUAGUGAAUAGCUAUGAGGACUGACGGUACCAUCAAAGGAAGCACCGGCUAACUCCGUG